AGGGAAUCUUCACCAAUGGACGAAAGUCUGAUGGAGCACCGCCGCGUGCGUGAUGAAGGUUCUCGGCUCGUAAAACUCUGUUGUAAGGGAAGAACCAGUACGACAGGCAAUGCACGUCCCUUGACGGUAACCUAUUAGACAGCCACGGCUAACUACGAGCCAGCAGCCGCGGUAAUACGUAGGUGGCAAGCGUUGUCCGGAAUUAUUGGGCGUAAAGCGGCGCAGGUGGUUUCUUAAGUCUGAUGUGAAAGCCCACGGCUUAACCGUGGAGGGUCAUUGGAAACUGGGAGACUUGAGUGCAGAAGAGGAAAGUGGAAUUCCAAGUGUAGCGGUGAAAUGCGUAGAGAUUUGGAGGAACACCAGUGGCGAAGGCGACUUUCUGGUCUGCAACUGACGCUGAGGCGCGAAAGCAUGGGGAGCAAACA
rnacentral:rRNA from 1 species